GGUGUUCACUGCAGGGGUGCUUUCUACAGGGUGCUAUCUGCAGGGUUGCUUUCUGCAGGGUGCUCUCUGCAGGGUUGCUUACUGCGGGGUGCUCACUGCAGGGUUGUUUACUGUGGGGUGCUCACUGCAGGGUUGUUUAUUGCAGGGGUGCUUACUGCAGGGUUGUUUACUGAGGGGUGCUUUCUGCCAGGUUGCUUACUGC